GCACUUUGUGUGUGUGUUUGUUCAACUGGUGGACAUCUUCAGGAAGGAUGGAGUGCAAAAAUAAAUCUUCUUUUGCAACCCAGAACUUAUUGUUCAGUAUGAGUCUUGAUACACACAAGCAGGAACAUG
rnacentral:snoRNA from 1 species